AACGAACAUCAUUUGUCCGGGUGUUGUAAGCCAUCACACUAAAAUAUAUAUACAAAAAGUAUGUUGCAUAGAACAGUGUGUGUCUGUGUUUUAGUAUGUUCUUUUAGUCUUUUUAUCGGCACAAUCAGUAAGAUUCCCUGCGGUUCAAGAAUGCUUACCACUGAUUCUUGAAUUUCUAAAUUAUGCUUAGUACAAUCCUUCUAACCCCGAAUCUUGUUAUAAUUAUAAUUCCUCUGUAGCGGUCUGUCUCGGGACGUCAGUCUAUCAGGGAACUUGUUCACUGCGCUGACAUAAAAUAAUCCAGUGCCUGGUUUUGCGAAACACAAUUGGCCCAUCUUGCGCUUGGAUCCAGUACGGUCAUUUCUUCCCUCCAAAACUCAUUCUUGCUGCAGGGAGGAGCGUUGAGCAUCCGUCUGAGUGACUGCAUUCAAGAAGAGAACGGGCAUGCACAGCACUUUUUUGACUUUCCAUUGCUUAUGUUCUAAACCUCUAUCUGAUCUACUGUAUUAGCAAGGGGUUUCAACGCGGAGCAUCCUAGGCUAACAUCAUCUGUCUCAAUAGGAACGCGGGGUUUUCUGUUGCAUAGUCGUAUCAUUUGUUUCCUGCGCAAAAAAUUGCAGACAUGGUCAAUACAACGAAACAUCGAUGAGAGGAGCGUGAGCCGGGGAAAGCGUGCUGCAGAGCUGCAUCAGAUAAUGCUGUUGACCCACAUGGCCUGGAGCUGCUGCUGAGGGAGGAACAGUCGAGUCCAGUCAGAAAGCCACAGAGAGGG
rnacentral:lncRNA from 8 species